rnacentral:rRNA from 1 species
UACAGAGGGUGCGAGCGUUAAUCGGAAUUACUGGGCGUAAAGCGCACGUAGGCGGAUUUGUAAGUCAGGGGUGAAAUCCCGGGGCUCAACCCCGUGACUGCAUCCGAUACUGUCAGGCUAGAGGUAGGUAGGGGAGAUCGGAAUUCCUGGUGUAGCGGUGAAAUGCGCAGAUAUCAGGAGGAACACCGGUGGCGAAGGCGGAUCUCUGGGCCUUACCUGACGCUCAGGCGCGAAAGCGUGGGGAGCGAACAGG